UACGUAGGGGGCAAGCGUUGUCCGGAAUCAUUGGGCGUAAAGCGCGCGUAGGCGGCUAGGUAAGUCUGCUCUGAAAGCCCGGGGCUCAACCCCGGGAGGCGGGUGGAUACUGUCUAGCUCGAGUCCGGAAGAGGAGUGUGGAAUUCCUGGUGUAGCGGUGAAAUGCGCAGAUAUCAGGAGGAACACCAAUGGCGAAGGCAGCACUCUGGGACGUGACUGACGCUGAGAAGCGAAAGCGUGGGGAGCAAACAGG
rnacentral:rRNA from 1 species